UACGUAGGCAGCGAGCGUUGUUCGGAAUUACUGGGCGUAAAGAGCGUGUAGGCGGUCCGGUAAGUCCGCUGUGAAAGUCGGGGGCUCAACCCUCGAAUGCCGGUGGAUACUGUCGGGCUAGAGUGCGGAAGAGGCGAGUGGAAUUCCCGGUGUAGCGGUGAAAUGCGCAGAUAUCGGGAGGAACACCAAUUGCGAAGGCAGCUCGCUGGGACGUUACUGACGCUGAGACGCGAAAGCGUGGGGAGCGAACAGG
rnacentral:rRNA from 1 species